rnacentral:rRNA from 1 species
AGCGAACGCUGGCGGCAGGCUUAACACAUGCAAGUCGAACGCCCGUAGCAAUACGGGAGUGGCAGACGGGUGAGUAACGCGUGGGAACGUGCCCUUUAGUUCGGAACAACCCAGGGAAACUUGGGCUAAUACCGGAUACGCCCUUCGGGGGAAAGAUUUAUCGCUAAAGGAUCGGCCCGCGUCUGAUUAGCUUGUUGGUGAGGUAAUGGCUCACCAAGGCGACGAUCAGUAGCUGGUCUGAGAGGAUGAUCAGCCACACUGGGACUGAGACACGGCCCAGACUCCUACGGGAGGCAGCAGUGGGGAAUAUUGGACAAUGGGCGCAAGCCUGAUCCAGCCAUGCCGCGUGAGUGAUGAAGGCCCUAGGGUUGUAAAGCUCUUUUGUGCGGGAAGAUAAUGACGGUACCGCAAGAAUAAGCCCCGGCUAACUUCGUGCCAGCCGCCGCCGUAACAC